rnacentral:rRNA from 1 species
GGGUAACACCGGCUACGGAUGGCCAUGCGGCGCAUUAGCUAGUUGGCGGGGUAACGGCCCACCAAGGCGACGAUGCGUAGGGGUUCUGAGAGGAAGGUCCCCCACACUGGUACUGAGACACGGACCAGACUCCUACGGGAGGCAGCAGUGAGGAAUAUUGGUCAAUGGGCGCGAGCCUGAACCAGCCAAGUCGCGUGAGGGAAGACGGUCCUAUGGAUUGUAAACCUCUUUUGUCGGGGAGCAAAAGGCGCCACGUGUGGCGUUCCGAGAGUACCCGAAGAAAAAGCAUCGGCUAACUCCGUGCCAGCAGCCGCGGUAAUACGGAGGAUGCGAGCGUUAUCCGGAUUUAUUGGGUUUAAAGGGUGCGCAGGCGGAAGAUCAAGUCAGCGGUAAAAUUGAGAGGCUCAACCUCUUCGAGCCGUUGAAACUGGUUUUCUUGAGUGAGCGAGAAGUAUGCGGAAUGCGUGGUGUAGCGGUGAAAUGCAUAGAUAUCACGCAGAACUCCGAUUGCGAAGGCAGCAUACCGGCGCUCAACUGACGCUCAUGCACGAAAGUGUGGGUAUCGAACAGGAUUAGAUACCCUGGUAGUCCACACAGUAAACGAUGAAUACUAAUUGUUCGGGGAGAAUGAUCCCUGA